UUAAGGAUUUUUCACGGGUGAGUGACGAGGCAUCAUCCGAUUUACUGGCAACCGCUGUUCAUGAUCGGCGCCAUGCGACCACAUCAACUUUCAAGUUUAAAAUGGCUUCCUUUUUUAGAUUUUCUGAGCUCGAAGAACAAAUCUCACUAAAAGCUGGCUUCCCGAUUCAUGUUCUACGAUUUUUGUUAUCUUUAUUUCUUGCUUAUCCACUAGCUUUUCUAUAUCGUGCUGUCUUCCAGUCAAAAUCACCAGCUGUUCAGAUGUCAGGUCUCCCCUUUCCCACUUCAUUUCAAACUUGGCAAUGGAUAAAUCAUAUGGCACAUCUCAAGCCUCAGAACUUUAUGCAUCUUUUGCUUUCACAAUGCAAC